rnacentral:rRNA from 1 species
UACAGAGGUCUCAAGCGUUGUUCGGAUUCAUUGGGCGUAAAGGGUGCGUAGGCGGCGCGGUAAGUCGGGUGUGAAAUCUCGGAGCUUAACUCCGAAACUGCAUUCGAUACUGCCGUGCUUGAGGACUGGAGAGGAGACUGGAAUUUACGGUGUAGCGGUGAAAUGCGUAGAUAUCGUAAGGAAGACCAGUUGGCGAAGGCGGGUCUCUGGACAGUUCCUGACGCUGAGGCACGAAGGCCAGGGGGAGCAAAACGGG